rnacentral:lncRNA from 1 species
UAUGUAAAUAGUAGAACCCUAAUCCAAUGUGUAUUAGGAGUAGGAUAGGUUAUGUGUAUAUAAAUAGGGCUCAUUGUAUCAUGUUUAAAAAUCAAUUAUAUUUUUCUCCCAUGCUUUCUCACAGUUAUGUUAUAUAAACAGAGAAUAGCAUUUUAAAACCUGUGCAGCUCUGAAGAGAUCCCCGAGGAGCAAUGGUACACGGUUCAAAAUACAGUUAAAAAUUGACUCUUCCCCUCUACCCUUCUACACUUAAAUACCAUACUUUCGUUUGCGGCAGG